ACUUAGUUUUGUUGAAAACACAGACCCGAUGGUGUUCUCAGUUUUCUAUAAUCUUUUGUUGUUUUCAUUGAUACUCCUCCUGCCUCAUCUGAUAUUGGGGAAUUUACAAAUGGCUCCUCACUUUUCUCCAAAUCACUGCUACCAUCUUCCUCUUGUACUUCUUGUGUUUCUGUUCUAUUUUUCACAGAUUCCUCCUCUAUAUUCAAGGAAAACAGAAAGGAAAUCAAACUAAUAAGCCCUUUAAGGCUG
rnacentral:lncRNA from 1 species